CUUCACCGAACCCAACCACAACGGCCGAUCAGCCACACGAUCCUGGCCAUACGUCGCGAUCAGCGCCUGAGCCUC
rnacentral:antisense_RNA from 1 species